CAGUAGCCGCGGUAAGACAGAGGAUGCAAGCGUUAUCCGGAAUGAUUGGGCGUAAAGCGUGCGUAGGCGGCUUCUUAAGUCGGAUGUGAAAUCCCUGAGCUUAACUUAGGAAUUGCAUUCGAUACUGGGAAGCUAGAGUAUGGGAGAGGAUGGUAGAAUUCCAGGUGUAGCGGUGAAAUGCGUAGAGAUCUGGAGGAAUACCGAUGGCGAAGGCAGCCAUCUGGCCUAAUACUGACGCUGAGGUACGAAAGCAUGGGGAGCAAACAGGAUUAGAUACCCCCGUAGUCCCUGUCUCUUAUAC
rnacentral:rRNA from 1 species